UGUCUUCAGGGCGGGGUGUGAUUCCCCACCGGUGGUAUAGCCCACGAGCGCUUGCGCUGAAUCGGUUUGAUCCCGAUGCCGACGGUAUAGUCCGGAUGAAAGAAGAUG
rnacentral:ncRNA from 1 species